AUGUUAUUUGAAAGCUUGUGUUAAAGAGUCUUUUCGACUUAACUAUCCAGUCGUGAGCGGACCAAUGAGAAUUUUAUCCACGGAUGUUAUUUUAAGUAACUACACUGUUCCUGCAGGGACGACCAUUAUGAUGGCCAACUCUCGAGCCGUCAAGACUCACUUCGAAGAGACGGACCAAUUCAUGCCUGAAAGAUGGCUCAGGACCAGUGAAUCGAGGAAACAUGACGUCACAAGCCACUUUGUCGCUCUCCCCUUCGGUCACGGGCCAAGAAAUUGUAUAGGGCGACGUUUUGCAGAGCAGGAAAUUUAUCUGGCAGCUUCUA
rnacentral:sRNA from 1 species